rnacentral:rRNA from 1 species
AGUUUGAUCCUGGCUCAGGAUGAACGCUGGCGGCGUGCCUAAUACAUGCAAGUCGAACGAAUCUCUUUUAGAGAUGAGUGGCGAACGGGUGAGUAAUACAUAGGUAACCUGCCCCUGUGCGGGGGAUAACAGGAGGAAACUCCUGCUAAUACCGCAUAGCCAUGAGCACCGCAUGGAGCUCAUGCCAAAUAUCCUUUAUGGGAUAGCGCAGGGAUGGACCUAUGGCGCAUUAGCUGGUUGGCGGGGCAACGGCCCACCAAGGCAACGAUGCGUAGCCGGCCUGAGAGGGCGGACGGCCACAUUGGGACUGUGACACGGCCCAGACUCCUACGGGAGGCAGCAGUAGGGAAUUUUCGGCAAUGGGGGAAACCCUGACCGAGCAACGCCGCGUGAGCGAAGAAGGCCUUCGGGUCGUAAAGCUCUGUUGUAAAGGAAGAACGGCGCAUACAGGAAAUGGUAUGCGAGUGACGGUACUUUACCAGAAAGCCACGGCUAACUACGUGCCAGCAGCCGCGGUAAUACGUAGGUGGCGAGCGUUAUCCGGAAUCAUUGGGCGUAAAGAGGGAGCAGGCGGCCGCAAGGGUCUGUGGUGAAAGCCCGAAGCUAAACUUCGGUAAGCCAUGGAAACCGGGCGGCUAGAGUGCGGAAGAGGAUCGUGGAAUUCCAUGUGUAGCGGUGAAAUGCGUAGAUAUAUGGAGGAACACCAGUGGCGAAGGCGACGGUCUGGGCCGCAACUGACGCUCAUUCCCGAAAGCGUGGGGAGCAAAUAGGAUUAGAUACCCUAGUAGUCCACGCCGUAAACGAUGGUCACUAAGUGUCGGGGUCAACCCCGGUGCUGCGUCAACGCAAUAAGUGACCC